AACUGAACUUCAUUGCAAUUCAUAAUUAAGGUGACUGUAUUUAAGGCAAUGAAGAGAUCUAAAGCCUCAUUCAAAAAAGCUAGUGGAGGCACUCCUGCGCAUGCACCCACAUGCAUAAGAGAGAAGAGAGAUUAGUUUUGUCUACAUUGGAUUUAACUACCUGUUGAUAAUAUCAGGAUCAAGGAAUAGUAAAAAUAUAAAUUGAACAAAUGAAUCAUAAGAGACAAAUUGGAGUA
rnacentral:misc_RNA from 1 species